rnacentral:rRNA from 1 species
GAGCUGGGUUCAGAACGUCGUGAGACAGUUCGGUCCCUAUCCGUCGCGGGCGCAGGAAAUUUGAGAGGAGCCUUUCCUAGUACGAGAGGACCGGAAAGGACGGACCGAUGGUGAACCAGUUGCAGUGCCAACUGCACGGCUGGGAAGCCAAGUCCGGGAGUGAUAAACGCUGAAAGCAUCUAAGCGUGAAGCACGCCUCAAGAUAAGAUUUCCCAUACCGUAAAGGUAGUAAGACCCCUCGAAGAAGACGAGGUAGAUAGGCUUAAGGUGUAAGAGCAGAAAUGCUUUAAGCUGGUAAGUACUAAUAGGUCGAGGCCUUGACCU